rnacentral:rRNA from 1 species
GAUGAGAGGACGGAGAAGGUUAAGUCAGCCUGGCGUUGGUUGUCCAGGUGAAAGGAUGUAGGCAUGUAUCUUAGGCAAAUCCGGGGUACUGUAUGCUGAGAACUGAUAGCAAGCUGUACUUGUACAGUGAAGUGGCUGAUACCAUGCUUCCAGGAAAAGUCUCUAAGCUUCAGUUACAUAGGAAUCGUACCCGAAACCGACACAGGUGGUCAGGUCGAGUAGACCAAAGCGCUUGAGAGAACUCUGCUGAAGGAACUAGGCAAAAUGGUACCGUAACUUCGGGAGAAGGUACGCUGCCGACGGUGAUAGGAUUUACUCCUUGAGCUAUUGGCAGCCACAGAAACCAGGCCCCUGCAACUGUUUAUUAAAAACAUAGCACUCUGCAAACACGAAAGUGGACGUAUAGGGUGUGACGCCUGCCCGGUGCCGGAAGGUUAAUUGAUGGGGUCAGCGCAAGCGAAGCUCUUGAUCGAAGCCCCAGUAAACGGCGGCCGUAACUAUAACGGUCCUAAGGU